rnacentral:rRNA from 1 species
AACGAACGCUGGCGGCAUGCCUAACACAUGCGAGUCGAACGAGACCUUCGGGUCUUGUGGCGCACGUGUACGUACCGCGUGGGAACCUGCCCUUAGGUUCGGAAUCACUCCCUGAAAGGGGUGCUAAUACCGGUUAAUGUCUUCGGACCAAAGAUUUAUCGCUUUUGGAUGGGCCCGCGUUGGAUUAGCCAGUUGGUAGUGGAAAAGCCUAGCAUGGAGACGAUCCAUAGCUGGUCUGAUAGGAGGAUAAGCCACACUGGAGCUAAGACACGGCCCAGUCUGCGACGCAGGGGAGGAGUGGGGAAUACAAGGCGAUGGGCGAAAGCCUGAUCCAGCAGUGCCGCGGAAGUGGUGAAGGCCUUAGGGUUGUAAAGCUCUUUUACACGGGAUGAUAAUGACAGUACCGGGAGAAUAAGCACCGGCUAACUCCGUG